CAUUUUGGCAAAUUACAAAAAUGUGUUAAAAAAACAGUUACUAAUGCAUAAAUGGUGUAGCAAUAGUUUUGUACAUAAGAAUUUAGCAAAAACCAGACACAAAACGUAAUGUGUAAUUUUUAAAUUAACCAACCCUGGGAUCUGAAAGGCUUAAAAACAGAAAGGUGAGCUUUUUGUUCAUUUUUAUUGUUCAACAGCUCUUUAGAGCCACCUAGAGAUGCAAG